UGUUUUUGAAGACCUUUUGUAGUUGAUCUUAUGUUUAAGUAAACUCUCUGGUAAUCUAAUUUGUCAUUUCAUAAAGUUUCAAUAUAAAACCCUUCUAGGUAUUAUUACACCUGAUGAUAUCUGGACAUACUCUAACCGUUCAAGUUCCUAGGGCCCACCCAGAGUGGGCAGAUGGGGUAAGCAUGCCACCUCACAUAAACCUGCCUUAAGAAGCUUGUUAGGGCAUGCUAAUAGUACAGUCAUAUAUUUCACUCAAAGAUCUUCUAAGCCCUUAUUCAAAGCCCAUCUAGUUCUUUUUUCUAAUUCAACAAUAAACAUUUAUUGAACUUCAAAUACCUUCAAGGCCAAGAAUACAUGUGUGCCCAGCAGAGUAACUUUAUACUCAUUAAUGAAAUGGCAAAUGUGUUGUGGGGAGCAAUGGAAUGCCUUCAGGCCUCUGAACUAAGACCUCUGGUUUGAGAUCUGCGUGAGAUUGAAAAAUCAUUACAGUUGCCCAUUAGAGACAAUUUUACUUUUUGAAUAUUGAAUGUAUAAUCCUUAAGUUUGUAGUCACUCCCUUUAAGAAGGAAACACUGCUUUCCUGUGUGCUAUUACUUGACUCACCUGAACUUUUGAAAGCAUUCAUAUACAUUCUCUGCUAGUACACUGAUUUUGAAGACUUUUUUAUAAAGGUUAAUGACUCAUAGGGCAAUCUGUGUGACUUAAACACAAUGGUAACCUGUGUAGGUGGUUACCGUGUGUCACAUACUGUGCCUGUUCUGUAUAUUUUUUCUGAUUAGUCAUACAUCCUGCAGCAGUUAAGGAUGUCUGUGGGAAGAAAAAUGAAUUACACUAGGACUGCUCUUAGUCUGACCUAUGGUGAACUUGAAUGAGUAAAAUACUCCCUGGAGAGAAAAUUGCUCACUGUAUAAGAAUUUUGGAAAACAUCUGGAUUCAGUGCAGUGAAGAAUCACCUGGGGUAAUGAAGUCUACAACAGGAACAGACUUGCCUUGGAAAUAAAUUACUGCCUCAUAAGAAGUCAUCUACAAUUUUAUCUUUGGAGGUAAAUGAGGCAUGAUGCUAUUAUUUGUUAUCUAGGUUUUUCCCUUAAUGAAAACAUGUUGAAUAAUAAUUUUUUUAUUAUGAAUGCUUUGGUAUUAUUAACAUAAUUUGCUGGGACUUGGACUUUUUUGAAAACAAAUAUCCUUGUAGCAGUUCUUCCUUUGAAAAUGUAUUAUUUAAUGCUUACUUGAGAAUUUGAGAUCUUGU
rnacentral:lncRNA from 12 species